rnacentral:tRNA from 1 species
GGAUGAAUGGCUGAGCGGUUGAAAGCAUCAAUCUUGAAAAUUGACAUAAGGUUAAAACUUAUCGUGGGUUCGAAUCCUACUUCAUCUA